GAUGAACGCUGGCGGCGUGCCUAAUACAUGCAAGUCGAGCGAACAGACGAGGAGCUUGCUCCUCUGACGUUAGCGGCGGACGGGUGAGUAACACGUGGAUAACCUACCUAUAAGACUGGGAUAACUUCGGGAAACCGGAGCUAAUACCGGAUCAUAUAUUGAACCGCAUGGUUCAAUAGUGAAAGACGGUUUUGCUGUCACUUAUAGAUGGAUCCGCGCCGCAUUAGCUAGUUGGUAAGGUAACGGCUUACCAAGGCAACGAUGCGUAGCCGACCUGAGAGGGUGAUCGGCCACAAUGGAACGGAGACAAGGUACAGACUCCUAAGGGAGGCAGCAGUAGGGAAUAUUCAGAAAUGGGCGAAAGCCUGACGGAGCAAGGCCGCGUGAGUGAUGAAGGUCUUCGGAUAGUAAAAAUCUGUUAUGAGGGAAGAACAAAUGUGGAAGUAAAUAUGCACGUCUUGACGGUACCUAAUCAGAAAGACACGGAUAACUACGUG
rnacentral:rRNA from 1 species